UAGGCUUAUCGUCAGGCGUAACUGCAUCUCGCAUAUGUCCCCUUUUCCCUGUGGGUCUUUUCAAGGAGGUGGUAAGGAGAGGGGUUAAGGAAAGCGAGAGAGAGGACCGUUCGAAUGUGAAAAAGGCAGACGAGGGAGAUAAGCAGUACCCCUAGCUUCGCUUUUUCUCAGAGAUCUUUCUUCCCAGCCUCCCAUCCCCAUCCUUCCAACUCGAUUCAUUCUCCUCUGACUAUCCAUCCUUUUUCCUCACUAUCCAUCGCGCAAAAAAGAUGCCAGAGAAGUGGGAAGGUAGGUGGUGUUGCAUUCUGUGACGUCACAACUCGAACUGUCAUGGCCGCUGGGCUCGGAUCGGAUUCAAGGAUUCUGCGUGGAGGCGUCGAGCUGCAAAGGCGGAACUAACAGAAUUCUGGAAGAAGUGCGAGGGAAAAAGGGAGUACCGGGAGGGUUGAGGGUCACCAUCCAGACUUUUCUUCGAUUUUGCCAACGAUGGUUGGUGAUAGGAGGAAUGCUUAAUUUGGAUUUUCAUGACGGGCCCCUGGAAGUGAUAAAUUUACAGAGAACCUUUUGUAAGAACGACCACUUGUUGUCCUGACGAUUUUGAUUUUUGGGAUUUACAACAUGGUUUUUACAAUAGCUCUCACAGGUAACAGCUUUACACUCAACUUUACAUUGUAUUAGCGACCUCUAUUUUUACAGUUAGCAGCACAAACUUCUCGACUCAACUUGUUUAGCAAAUACUGGUACAGCUCAGGUUCAAAUAUGUCACUAGGGUACUCAUGAAGUUGGGAAAGAAGUUCUGAAACAAGAAACGCUGACAGAUGUCUUUUCAUUGUGUACACUUUUCUGAACAGCAGAUUACCAAGGAUACAAGAAAGAAAGCUUUACCUGUUUAGUUAUUUCAAAUUCUUCUCCAGCUUUCGAGAACUAGAGAAUCAUUUGAUGGAUUACGUAUCUUGCUUCUGUAUUUUAGAUGACCUAGCCAUAAGAAGUAAAUCGAAUUGCAGA